GAUGAACGCUGGCGGCGCGCCUAACACAUGCAAGUCGAACGGCACCCCUCCUCGGAGGGAAGCGAGUGGCGAACGGCUGAGUAACACGUGGCGAACCUGCCCCCCCCCCCGGGAUAGCCGCACGACAGGACGGGUAAUACCGGAUACCCCGGGGUGCCGCAUGGCACCCCGGCUAAAGCCGCGACGGGAGGGGAGGGCUUCGCGGCCCAUCAGGUAGACGGGGGGGUGACGGCCCAGCGUGCCGACGGCGGGUAGCCGGGGAGAGAGACCGACCGGACAGGGUGGGACAGAGACACGGGCCAGACUCCGACGGGAGGCAGCAGGAGGGAAGCUCGCGCGAUGGAGGGAACCCGGACGAAGCGACGCCGCGGGCGGGACGGAGGCCUUCGGGUCGUAGACCGCGUUCAGCAGGGAAGGGGAAAGACUGUACCUGCAGAAGAAGCCCCGGCUAACUACGUG
rnacentral:rRNA from 1 species